CGCCUGUUAUCAAAAACAUUUUCUUUUGGUGUAAGUAAGAUAAGACCUGCCCGGUGAUUUUUAACGGCUGCGGUAUUUUGACUGUGCUAAGGUAGCAUAAUCAUUUGCUACUUAAUUGGUAGCUGGAAUGAAAGGUUAAACUAGCUUACUCAGUUUGUUGUGUUUUGUAAGAAAUUAAAGUCGAGGUAAGAAUUCUUUGAUCUGCUAGGGGACGAUAAGACCCUAGAAGCUUAACAAUAAGAGUAUUAAUUAGUUAUAAAAAUUAAUUUGUUUUACUGGG
rnacentral:rRNA from 1 species